AAGUCGUAACAAGGUUUGGAAUAAUGAUUCUUCCAUGACGCUUAUGAGAAGCCUUUGUGGCCCCGCAAGGGGUACUGGCCGCGACUAUAAAGAAUGGAUGCUGGUAUUAAAUCGCAAGUCUGCACCUGCAGGCGACACUUUCGAAUUGCGGGGAUCCCCUAAAGCUCUUCUCUACCAAUCAGUGCGGGAAACCGUGCUGGGGCUUGUGUUAACAGCACGAGGUAUGGUAAAAAUGAGAAGAGAUACGUUUGAAAUUUCAAACAAAAUGGGUAAUCCGCAGCCAAGUCCCUACGGCGUAUUGCUACGGGAAAGGUUCACAGACUAAGUGGAAGUGGGCUCACAGAGCUUAAGAUAUAGUCGGGUUCCAUAGGAAACUAUGGAAGCUGUCGUGCAAAAUGAUAGAAAACCGUUCCGUAGGUGAACCUGCGGAAGGAUCAUUACCAAAAUCUAGCUGCUCUGGUUCAGGCCAGUUGCACGCUUCAACCCUUUGUGAACCAAAAACCUUUACGCUUCGGCAGCUGGUCUCAGCUGUAAGCCUGCCGAUGGCACCAAUUUAAACCAGUCGUUAAAACACUGUCUGAACUAUUUAUUUUCGAAUGAAAAUUAAAACUUUCAACAACGGAUCUCUUGGNUCUCGCAUCGAUGAAGAACGCAGCGAAACGCGAUAGUUAAUGUGAAUUGCAGAAUUCAGUGAAUCAUCGAGUCUUUGAACGCACAUUGCGCCCAUUGNNNUCCUUUGGGCAUGUCUGUUUGAGCGUCAUUACACGCCUCAGCGCACGCUGGUAUUGAGCUGUGANNNUCAGAAAUGANCCCUUCGCUUAAAGUNUAAGCUCUGCUGANNNAACUGGNCGAAAACAUAGUAANUUCUUGCUGUUGAUGAGAAAGUUGAGAGGUUUGGCCUGAAAAACACCUUCAAUUUCUAAGGUUUGACCUCAGAUCAGACAAGGAUACCCGCUGAACUUAAGCAUAUCAAUAAGCGGAGGAAAAGAAACCAACAGGGAUUGCCUCAGUAACGGCGAGUGAAGCGGCAAUAGCUCAAAUUUGAAAUCUGGAGCCUUCGGCUUCCGAGUUGUAAUUUGAAGAGGAAGUUUCGGUUGCGAUCUGGGCCUAAGUUCCUUGGAACAGGACGUCAUGGAGGGUGAGAAUCCCGUACAUGGCUGCAGGUUUGCUUCUAUGUGAAACUCCUUCGAAGAGUCGAGUUGUUUGGGAAUGCAGCUCAAAAUGGGUGGUAAAUUUCAUCUAAAGCUAAAUAUUGGCGAGAGACCGAUAGCGCACAAGUAGAGUGAUCGAAAGAUGAAAAGCACUUUGAAAAGAGAGUUAAACAGUAUGUGAAAUUGUUGAAAGGGAAGCGCUUGCAAUCAGACUCACUUUCAGUUGAUCAACGUUCCUUCUGGUUCGUGCACUUUGCUGUUUGUGGGCCAGCAUCAGUUGGAGCGGUGGGACAAAGACAGCAGGAAUGUGGCUCUCUUCGGGGAGUGUUAUAGCCUGUUGUGUAAUGCCACCAGUUCCGAUUGAGGUCCGCGAUUCGUCUAGGAUGCUGGCUUAAUGGUUGUAAGCGACC
rnacentral:rRNA from 1 species